UACGGGGGGAGCAAGCGUUGUUCGGAAUCACUGGGCGUAAAGGGUGCGUAGGCGGGUCUUUAAGUCAGGGGUGAAAUCCUGGAGCUCAACUCCAGAACUGCCUUUGAUACUGAAGAUCUUGAGUUCGGGAGAGGUGAGUGGAACUGCGAGUGUAGAGGUGAAAUUCGUAGAUAUUCGCAAGAACACCAGUGGCGAAGGCGGCUCACUGGCCCGAUACUGACGCUGAGGCACGAAAGCGUGGGGAGCAAACAGG
rnacentral:rRNA from 1 species